CAUGAGACCGGGCAUCAAGGACAGCCAGCCUGAAGGUGAAGCCCCCGAGGACAGCCAGAAAGCUGGAAGCGCCUGGGACUGUCACACCCCGGGCCAGGAGGUCCGCCCGGCGCCCUCGCGCUUUGGACCGGAGCUAACCGAGGCCUGGCAACCGAGGCCAGCCCAGUUCUGCACUCUGCUGAGGACUUCUCAGACUCCGCCCCAAGGCUCUGUGGACUGCAAGUGAAGUGACCACAGUGUCCUGGCCGGUAGGGUGACACAGAAGGAAAAAGCCCUUCUGUUAACUCAUCUAGGCGGCCCGGACUUUGGAGUUCUCCAACACUGCCGUAGACGAGCCAAGACAAGCUGAAGACGAGCUGAAACAAGCUGAAGACGUCCUGCCGCCACUCCUGGUCACUCCUGCCUGCUCCCUCGGGUCCAGCGUCUUAGCACAUUGAGAAAGAAGUGGAGCCGGGCACCUGCAGCCCCAGCCAACCAGAAACUGGAGCUCAAAACCAGCCUGGGCAAUAUACGAGGAGACCUAGCUGGAAAAGGAAAAGCUGAACUGGGGUGCAAGGGUUCCAGCCAGCCAUCUGUCAGUGGGGUGACCAGGGCCGUGAACCCCCACCGGCGGGGACAGUCCCUGUCCAUACUGUUUUCCACCAUCAUUAGCGUGUUCAGGAUUCUUCAGAGUCCACAUAUUUAGGAGUCUUUCAAAUGUUUGUGCUUCCAAAAUGACGUCAUCAUCCUUUCCGAACAACUGAUGAAAUUAUCAAUGUUAGCACUCGGAACUUACAAAACUAAACUAGUUACAAAAGAAGAAGGAAAAGUCCUGAUGGCAGGCCUAGAGGAAAUGCUCAGCAGCUGUGGGACAAGUGAACCCAGCGAAGGUCCAUGCUUCUCCAGCGCUUGGGCCAGCUGUUAAUCUGACCACUGUGCUGCCCGGGGCUUCUGGACGCAGGAGAGACGAAAAGGAUCCUGAGCCCUUCCUGGCAUGGUGAAGCCAGGGCAGAGGGCACUGCUGAGGCCACACAGUGAGCGUGGACCGUGGAGCCCACUUUGGAGACGGAGCCAGCUGGCUCCAUCCGCUGCCAGCAGAGAAGCGAGUGCAGUCG
rnacentral:lncRNA from 1 species